rnacentral:lncRNA from 1 species
UAUUUUUUGAAGUGGGUUGAUAUAGGUUGGACCGGUUGGGAGGCCCAACCCAUUUUCUCUCUUUCUCUUCUUCUCUCUUUUCCCUUCCUCCUCUCUCCCGUGCUCUCCUCCCACUGCCGGACUGUCCAGCCGCCAACUGCCGCCGUCCGGCCAGCCACCGGCCGCCGCUCCACCCUAGUUCGGACCCCCACCUCCUCCUCUCCCUCCCCGGCCUAGCCCCCGAGCCUCUAACCCGCCGGAAGAAGAGAAAACCCGCCGGAAACGCCGGGAAGCAUUUCGCCGGAACUCCCUCCUCCGGCCACCAAUCCGGGCAAGCUUGGUAUGGUUUUGUAGCCCUCCAACCCAGCAACCUUGCCCUAAAAGGACUCACUCCCUCUUGAGCUAGGUAAGGAGAAAUUUGAGGUGGAAGUUUUAUGGUGUUUUUAAUGUUUUUAGUCGAUUGCCCUAGUUAGGCUUGGAAUUGGUGUUUGUGCUAGUUAUGAAAGUUGUAGAGCUUGAUGAGAGGAAGAUGCUGUUAAAAUUUCAUAGGUUUUGGAGGUCACCGGAAUUGGCCGCCGGCGGCGCCGCCGCUGUUUUGGGAAAUUUUGUGGUUUUUGAUGUAGAAUAUUAAGGGGAUAUUAUUGAAGUGAAUUAUGGAAUUUUUGGAUGAGAUUUGGAUAGGUUUGUGAAUUUCCGAAGUUUGGUAUUUUUGGCGGUUAAUUAAUGUAGAAUCCGGCCGUAGGAUUUAAGUCGUAUUUUGGAGAGGUUGUAUUUACGACUGUUGAGUAUGAUAUUUAAGUUCGGAUUGUUCCGAUGUAAGAAUAUCGAAGUAAGGCAAUGAUGAGCGUAAUUAUAGCUCUCGGGUAAUUUUGCCUAUUUUGAUUAAAUAUUGGAUAUUGGUUGGGAAAUUAAUAUUAUAUUUGGAACAGGACGUGAAGAGGCUCGAGCAGACGAGACCCCAGAUUGACAUCAGGCUUAUGCCUAAUUCGUGAGUGGACUUUUGUUUUAAAUAAAUGCAUGCUAAGUUCACGAUUGAAUAAUUAAUGUCGUGGAGUAUUUUGCCGUCAAUUAAUUUUGACGCUUUUAUUUCUCUGAGAGAGAGUUACCGAAAAUGGGAUUUUCGGUGAAUAUAAAUAUGUAUAUAUGAGAGAGUAUGUAUAAAAAAUGCUAGCUAGCCAUAUGUGUCUGUCCACCUUAAUGGCGUAGCAUAUAGCCGCAUUAUGGUGUGACGUGAGCGUUGG